rnacentral:rRNA from 1 species
UCGAGCGGGAAUUUUUUGGUAGCAAUACCCAAAAAGUUCCAGCGGCGAACGGGUGCGUAACACGUGGGCAAUCUGUCCUAAAGUGGGGGAUAGCUCGGCGAAAGCCGAAUUAAUACCCCAUGUGAUUAGCUAAGACAUCUUGGUGACAUCAAAGUUGGCGCAACCUAACGCUUUUUGAGGAGCCCGCGGGCUAUCAGCUAGUUGGUGGGGUAACAGACUACCAAGCUAUGACGGGUAGCUGGUCUGAGAGGACGACCAGUCACACUGGAACUGAGACACGGUCAAGACACCUACGGGUGGGAGAAGACGAGAAUUUUUCUCAAUGGGGCCAACCUUGAAGGAGCGACCGCCGCGUGGGGGAUGAAGCCUUUCGGGUUGUAAACUCCUGUCAUUUGAGCCCAAGGUCCGACUAGUACCAAUACUCCAUUGAUAGUAUCAGAAGGGGAAGAGCCGUCUAACUCUGUCCCAGCAGCCGCGGUAAUACAGAGGUCUCAAGCGUUGUUCGGAUUCAUUGGGCGUAAAGGGUGCGUAGGUGCCCCGCUAAGUCAGGUGUGAAAUCUCGGAGCUUAACCCCGAAACUGCAUUUGAUACUGCCGUCCUUGAGGACUGGAGAGGAGACUGGAAUUCCCCGGUGUACCAGUGAAAUGCGUAGAUAUCGUGAGGAAGACCAGUGCCGAAGCGGCCCUCUGGACAUGCCUGACACUGAGCCAGAAGCCAGG